GGCUGACUCCGGCCUCAUUCCCACGUUCUGGGAAAGCUGGUCCAGGCCGGCCUCCAAGGCCCCCUUGCCUUUGGGGUGCCGCCUGGAAAGCACGGCAUCCUCGUGCUUCCCCAGCCCAGGCUGCCCCCUCUGACUGUUCCUAACGGGUUGUGGAAAGAAAGACUAGGCAAAACGCAGAGGAAAUGUCAUGUCCUGGCAUCUGAUGAGAGGCGUGCACGAAUGAUCUGUGGAUGCUCAGAAUGGGCAGGCACUUGACGCAUUGUCAGGCGCUCUGAGCUGGCCAUAUGGGUUUAUUUUUGUGGAUUUUGUACUGUGAACUUGAGUUGCUGUUAAACACAGCGUGAGUCAUCGUCUGCUUCUGCCGUUGCAUCCCAGCCUACACUGCCUUCACCAGAAAAUGGUACAGAGCACCCUUGCGACCCUACCCACCCCACCCCACCCCCCGAGGGGGAGGGGGAGGCCUGUUCCUGGGAGCUCCACCCUUCUGUGCUUCCUAAACCUUGGCCCCCACCUUGACCCCUCCUCUCCACAUCAGUAGUUUGCAGAUUUUCACAUCUCUUUCCCCAGUGAGGCUAAGUUCUGCUGGGGCAGUGGUGGGUUUAUUUUUAAUCCCGGUUUCUAUAGGAUCUGGGAUGCCCACGUUGCCAACAUGCACCUGUUGAAGGAUGAGUGCCUAUGUGUCUGUUUUAUCACCCGUGUUCCUGCCUCGGAACCAGAGCCAAGAGCUCCGGUGGCUUUUGAUGUGAUCACCCACGUUCAGGUUCACGGAGGACAAGUUGGUGCAGGGAAAAGAAUAGAGAUUUGGGGUUGGACCAAACAGGGUUCACAUCCUAGGUCAGCUGCCAUGUGAUUUGGGGUCCCCCAAGUCUUAGUGUCUUUAUUUGUACUGUGGGGAUCAAUUUCCACCCACCCAGAGGAGGUGUUGUCAUGGCUGAAUAAAAUCACGCUUAGAUGGCUCUGCACACCUCAGCCUAUCUCCUUACCUGGGAAAAGGGUGGGGACUUGUGGGCCCAGUCCUGAGGCAUCUCUUGAAAAUUAAGCUUCCCUGGGAGUUCCCUGGUGGCACAAAGGGUUAAGGAUCCAGCAUUGUCAUUGCAGUGGCUUGGAUCUAUGCUAUAGGACACAGGUUCUAUCCCUGGCCCAGAAACUUUCAUAUGCCUUGGGCGCAGCCAGAAAAAAAAGUGACCUUCUCUGAUGCUGCCUCGGAGGGUCCAUCCGCUAGAGGAAGUGAUAGCCUUGGAGAAAUUCAGAAAUGAGCUCUGAGCAUUGCAGGUGCAGGAUUUUGUUGGCUUCACCCUCGAGACGGGCCUGGCAGGCAAUAAAAGGGCUCAGGCUGUUGGAUUCAGAAGGAAGAUUGUUGGGUUCCAGGAAGGAAUCCUUUAGAACAAACCCCAGAGGAGCCCCCCACCCAGGUCCUUCACAGAAUGUUCUGGUAAGCUUUCUGGAUAAAGCAAGCGUCUGACCAUGGGAGUUGGGACCAAUGAUGAAUGGAAAUGCUUAUGGAUUUAUAAGCCUUCAGCCCUUUUAAGGAUGGUCUUCCUAAGAUGAGACAGGUGCCCCCAUCUUGAGUUUCACGUGUCAUUAGAAAUAGAUUGCAAUUCCUUUUUUUCCUCCUCUAUUUGCAUAGAAGUUGCCUGUGUCCUCUUCUUUCUGAGGAUUAGGGUUAAUUGAUACACCUAGAAACAGAAGGCCAGUGCUUAAGGCAGGGAUGAUAAAUGCCAGCACAUGUGCCAUAACUCAGCCCUCCCCUAUUCACGGCAGACAUACCCAAUCGAUCAUCGCACUCUUUGUGCCAUCUCUAGAACAGACCCCCUAGUCACAGUUCAGGGAACCUGCAAGCCAGAAUUAUAAUCAUUGCAUUUUCUAUUACCAAACACUUUCUCUAAAUAGGGGGAAAACAAUAUACAUAUUCCAAUUCAAACAUGUACCACUGUACUGUGUAAAUAUUGAGGACCCUGGGGAUUCCAUCUCAAUAGUCUUAUUAUCACCCUAUUUUACUUGCAUAUAAACAAUAAAUACAUUGCAAAGUAUUAAUGGAAAACCAUGUUUAGGAAUUACAGCGAUUACCGAUCAAUUGGAUGGAAUAAUUACUAUAAUCACUGGGUAAUUAGAGUCUUCCUGGCCUGAGAGGGGAAUGCAUGAGCUCUGGGAUUGAUUCCUCUGCUCAGCAGAGUCUCAGAAUCAGGAAGAGAGAGUCCUGAACCCCAGGGCAGCCAAGCUGGCAGCUGUAAGUUGGGGCAGCUGUCCUAGUACUCCCAAAGAGGAAGAUACCACAAAUGUUUUCCAUGGAAGGUUGCAGGACCCCUGACUAAAAGCAGCUUAAGCUGUGAGUUUUGUUUUGGUUUUCACCAAAUAAGAAAUUGAGAGGCCAGUAGAACGGGACUGGUGCAGCCUCUCAACAGCAGCACCCAGAGCCAGCCUCUGUCCAUCUUUCUGAGUUGCCGUCCAGAGGUUGGUGGUUAGUCACUUCAUGGUCACAAGAAGGCUGCUGAUGCUCCAGACACCACAUUCGCAUUUAAGGCAGGAAUAAAGCAGAAGAGACAGUGACAGCAACAUCUGUCCUUUUCCUUGUUAGGAGAAACCUCUGCAGACUUCUGCUUGUGUCUCAUUGACCAGGAGAGGGUCACUUGGGAACCCUUGCUGCAAGGGAACCUGGGAAAGUAGGAGACAGGAUAUCCUGGUUGGCUCAGGCUGAUCGUGGUCCUUCACCUGGGGCUAAGCCUGUGGUCACUGUGAACAGCAGGGGUUCUUGUAGCAAGAAGGAAGGAGAGCCUGGAAAUUAGGUAGAUAACUAAUAAUGUCUGUGUCAGACACUCCAGGAGAUCAUGACCCACAACUCUUUGAGGUAUGACAGGCAUCACUAGUAGAGCUGUAGAGAUUUGUUGUUCCUUGUUCAUUCAUUCAUUCAACACAUGUUUGUUUGCUUGCUUAUGCUUUUUAGGACUGCACCCGCAGCAUAUGGAAGUUCCCAGGCUAGGGGUCCAAUCAGAGCUAUAGCUGCUGGCCUACACCACAGCCAUAGCAACAUGGGAUCCGAGCCGGGUCUGUGACCUACACCACAGCUCACGGCAGCGCCAGAUCCCCGACCCACUCAUCGAGGCCUGGGAUCAAACCCGCAUCCUCAUGGAUACUAGUCAGAUUCGCUUCCACCGUGCCACAACGUUUAACCAAUGCCUAUGGAUGCCAGGAUGGGGGGAAAGUAGAGAAUUAUUUAGAAAUAAACAAUAGGGAACAUUUUUCUAGGAAAAGUGACAUCUAAGCCAAGAAUAAAAAAAUGCGUAAAAGUUUGCCAACUUGUUUCACGCGUGCGCUCGUGUGUGUGUGUGUGUGUGUGUGUGUUGGGAUGGCCAGGUGGAUGCAGGAGGGGCUGACAGGAGGAGAGGUGAGUGUCACAGACAGAGGGAACAGCAUGUGUGUGAGCGUCUCAGUGGAGGAAGAGGCAGGAUCUGUUUCCAGAAGUGAGCCUGGAAGGACAGACACCAGAUACCAGAGGGUCUCAAGUUCCACCUUGAGUUUGGACUUUGUCCUAAAGAUCCUGUCUGCCCCAGCCCAUGAGCUGUAUUGGUCAAGACUCUCGUGGGGGCGGCGGGGUGGGCAGGGGGAAAUGCCUUAAUGUUAAAAAGAUGGAGGAAGGUAGUUAUCGGUGCCAGUUAUUAGGAUGUCCAAGGGUAGCUGGCUUCCAGAACAGCUGGAUCCAGAGGCUCAAAUGACGUCAUCAUGAAUCUCUCUCCCGCUAGACUUUCUUCCUUUGUGCUGACUUCCUUCUCAGACAGGCUCUCGCUGACGCCGCAAGGGGCCAUCAGAAGCUCUCCAUGUACGUUCUGUGAAUCUCAGACCAGACAGGAAAGAGGAGCAGUUCCAGCUGUAGGGAGAGCUCUCUUUGGCCCAUUGCGGGUGACAGGACCAUCCCUGAACUGAAGCCCAAGGAUGCUGUGCUUUCAUUGGCAGCCUGGCAUCGGGUGCCUGCCACAGCAGCCUGCACACGGAGCAGAGAAAUGACAAUGCCAUCACGCCCGGGUAGACUGAGUGCCAGGAGGCCCCGCCUGCCUCCUUCUUACCUCACCUGGCAUCGUCUGAACCCCUCCUAGGUUCUCCUACCCUCCUGUACCCCUUCCUGCUGCCCAUCCCUCCAACCCAGUGACACACAUGAGCUCCCUGUGUUGAUCCUCAGCCCUCCUCCCCCCGCCCCCAGGUUGAAGGUGCUUCUCCUGCUCUGCAUAAUCCCCAGCUCUGCUUACCUCUGUUCUGCUGCUAUAGCCCCUCAGGGCAAGGGGACCCCUCCCUUCCCCUCCCUCACACCUGGCAGAGCGUGGCCGUCAUCACUGGUCAAUUCUGUCCUUAAUAAGGGAAAAUGCUGCAGUCUCCUCAUGUUUCGUAAAGCAGGGACACAGGCCCUGUGUGUCGCCUUCUGUUCAGCAGAGUUUCCCCACAGCCUGGCCCGCAUACCGCCGUGAAGGCAUUGAUUUAUUCUGCCCCCCACCCAGCGCUGCUUGUUAGCAUUCUCAAUCUGACAAGAGGUAUUGAGCCUACCUCUAAGGCACUACAAAAUUAUGAGUAGAAACCCAUCUGGACUCUGGUUCACGGUGUGUUUUGCCCACGGAAUGGGAAACUGAGACAAGGAAGUAACAGGUAACUUCGCAGAGGUGUAGGCGCCCUCCUGGUCUAGCUAGGAUACCUCCAGUCUGACCUUCUCGGGGGAAGCCUCCUCUGAAAUGCUCACUGUGUUAUUCAGGACUUUUGGGGUUGCAGGCGGAAGAUGCCUGACUCAAACAGGCAGAAACAAAAAUAAGUGAAUUUAUUAACUCUUGAAAAUGAAAAAUCCAAGAAUAGCUGGCUUCAGGCAUGGCUGGAUCCUGCAGCUUAAACAAUGUCAUCACUACUUGAUUCUCUCUCUCUUUCACUCUCUUUCUCCCUUUGCCUCCCUCCCACCACCCUCCCUCUCUCCUCCCUCCCCCACCCAGCCCAACCCACCCAUCUCCAGGAUCUUCUGUUCAAUGUGCUAUCCUUAAGUUGCAUGUCUCCCACAUUAUCACGUGGAAUUUCCAAGACACAUCUUUAUAGCUUAGUGGCUUCAGCAGGGAAAGGCUGCCUCUUUCCAGAUUUCCUAUGAGACAUCCUGUGAUAGUCUUGGAUUGGCUCAGCUUCUGUCAUGGAUCCAGGGUCUACAGUCCCACCACCUGUUUCUGCAGGGCCCAUAAACUAUGAAUGCUUUCUACACUUUAAAAUGGUUGGAGGAGUUCCCAUCGUGGCACAGUGGAAACGAAUCCAACUAGGAACCAUGAGGUUUCGGGUUCAGUCCCUGGCCUUGCUCAGUGGGUUAAGGAUCUGGUGUUGCCCUGAGCUGUGGUAUAGGUCACAGAUGCAGCUCAGAUCCCGUGUUGCUCUGGCUGUGGCAUAGGCUGGCCGCUGUAGCUCUGAUUGGACCCCUAGCCUGGGAACCUUCAUAUGCUGUGGGUGCAGCCCUAAAAAGCAAUAAAAUAAAAUAGUUGGAAAAAAAAACAAAAGAGGAGUUCCCUGGUGGCACAGCGAGUUAAGGAUCUGAAGCUGUCAUUGCAGCAGUCCAGGUCACUGCUGUGGUGUGGAUUUGAUCCCUGAACCUGGAACUUCCACAUGCUGCAGAUGUGUCCAAAAAACAAACAAAACCAAAAGAAGACCAGAAUAUAGUGGCGUGUGAAAGUUAUAUGAAAUUCAGAAUUACAUAAAAUUCAAAUUAUAUGAAAUUCAAAUUUAUUGAAACAGAGCCAUGCUUAUUUGUCUAUGUAUUGUCGAAAGCCACUUUGGUGCUGCAAUGCUGGACUUGAGUAGCUGAGGCAGACUGCAUGGCUCACAAAGGUGAAAAAAAUGUACUCUCUGGCCCUCUGUAGAAAACACUUGCUACACCAGCUAUAAUGGAAAAAAUAAAAAUCAUUUUUUUAAACAAAGAAGAAUGGGGAGUUCCUGUUGUGGCGCGGUGGUUAACGAAUCCGACUAGGAACCAUGAGGUUGUGGGUUCGAUCCCUGGCCUUGCUCAGUGGGUUAAGGAUCCAGCGUUGCCGUGAGCUGUGGUGUAGGCGGUAGAUGCGGCUCGGAUCCCACGUUGCUGUGGUGUAGGCUGGUGGCUACAGCUCCAAUUAGACCCCUAGCCUGGGAACCUCCCAUAUGCCUCGGGAGCAGCCCAAGAAAUGGC
rnacentral:lncRNA from 1 species